UAUUGUUUAUUGAUCUGUAUGGUAGUCUUGUGGUAGACCAAUACAGUAUAUUAUUUAUUUUAACAAGACUGACUGAAUGCUGCUGUCGUCGUCGUCGUGUUUUGUACGUAUUGCCAGAGAGUUGUUAUAGUGUAUUGCACAUCAACAGAACGUCAAUCGCCGUGUUCAUCGUGUGUAAAAGACUUUAGGUAGAUGCUAUUUGGUACUACACUAACAGUGGAAAAACACAUUGUAUCCUAUUCAAGAAGAGCCGAUAGAUGACACGCAUCAUUUGCUUUAAGAUGUAAACAUAUCACGUAAUCCAGAUAUUUAUUGGCAUGAAAACACUAUAUCGGCUAUUAUUCGACUCAUAACAUUUUCAUACAACCCAUCAUGAUAUUUCCGUGCACCCCAUCAUGCAAUGUCCAUACGCGGGAGCUUAUCGACAGUUAAAUAUACUACUAUAUAAACGUUGACAAUGUACUUGGAAUUAUUUUCAGUCAAUAAAGUUCUGACUGAAUAUUUCCGUUGAAACCUUAACUGUACUAGUACAUCUUAGACAAAUUUUGACAAUGACUGACACUGAUAUAUUUG